rnacentral:rRNA from 1 species
UGAGGAAUAUUGGUCAAUGGACGAGAGUCUGAACCAGCCAAGUAGCGUGAAGGAUGACUGCCCUAUGGGUUGUAAACUUCUUUUAUACGGGAAUAAAGUUAGCCACGUGUGGCUUUUUGUAUGUACCGUAUGAAUAAGGAUCGGCUAACUCCGUGCCAGCAGCCGCGGUAAUACGGAGGAUCCGAGCGUUAUCCGGAUUUAUUGGGUUUAAAGGGAGCGCAGGCCGUCCUUUAAGCGUGCUGUGAAAUGCCGCGGCUCAACCGUGGCACUGCAGCGCGAACUGGAGGACUUGAGUACGCACGAGGUAGGCGGAAUUCGUGGUGUAGCGGUGAAAUGCUUAGAUAUCACGAAGAACUCCGAUUGCGAAGGCAGCUUACCGGAGCGCAACUGACGCUGAGGCUCGAAAGCGCGGGUAUCGAACAGGAUUAGAUACCCUGGUAGUCCGCGCGGUAAACGAUGGAUGCCCGCCGUUGGGUUUUAGAAUUCAGCGGCCAAGCGAAAGCGUUAAGCAUCCCACCUGGGGAGUACGCCGGCAACGGUGAAACUCAAAGGAAUUGACGGGGGCCCGCACAAGCGGAGGAACAUGUGGUUUAAUUCGAUGAUACGCGAGGAACCUUACCCGGGCUUGAAUUGCAGGAGAACGAUCCAGAGAUGGUGAGGCCCUUCGGGGCUCCUGUGAAGGUGCUGCAUGGUUGUCGUCAGCUCGUGCCGUGAGGUGUCGGCUCAAGUGCCAUAACGAGCGCAACCCCUGUCCAUAGUUGCCAUCAGGUCGUGCUGGGCACUCUGUGGAGACUGCCGCCGUAAGGUGUGAGGAAGGUGGGGAUGACGUCAAAUCAGCACGGCCCUUACGUCCGGGGCUACACACGUGUUACAAUGGGGCAUACAGCGAGUUGGAUGUGCGCAAGUACGUCCGGAUCAAUAAAGUGCCUCUCAGUUCGGACUGGGGUCUGCAACCCGACCCCACGAAGCUGGAUUCGCUAGUAAUCGCGCAUCAGCCAUGGCGCGGUGAAUACGUUCCC